GAAAUAGUCUGUCACUGAAGAAAAUGGAGAUACUGUUUGAUUCAAGGCAUUGUUUAACUUGGCAUGUCAAAUUAUUUCAAGCCCACAAGGAGGGGGAGGACAUGCUGAUGACUGUGUUCAUGCCUGUUUAUCCAACCAACGUGUUAGACUGGGAAUCCUUGCAGACAUAGCUCCAUUUUACAGCACUUGACCAUGCAAAGCCAUGCUCCCAAACAGGGCAUUGGAGGAGACUCAACCCAGCAAAGCUGCAGGAAGAGCAGAACUCACUGCCACUGUUUUCCAUAUGUUCCUCUCUAUGGGGGCCUGACUGGACCUCAACCUGAGGAGGAAGAAGAAUGGAAACUUAAUGGAGAAACACGUCCCGCCCCCAGUUAUCAGAGCUUCAUUUGAGACAGCCCCGAACUGAAAUCUUGGAAUCCAGAUUCCUUGAUAUACAAAAAGGUUUAGUUUGUAUGAAUCCAAGUACUGAGAUGUAGGAAACUCCAAUUUCGAGUGAGGAAAGAAAUUUGGAUACUCUGGACAGAGGACACAAGAGCGUGAAUCAGAACAGAAUUUCUCCAGAGAUUUAUGUCUGAGCACACAUGGACCUAUGAAACUGCAUUUGCUAUCCAAACAAGGCAAGGAGCCCUGCUGAAUUAAGGAAGAAGUUCUAGAGAGGUGACUGCUUCCUUUCAAG